rnacentral:lncRNA from 1 species
GGGAUAGUGGGAGUGGGAUCCUUCACGGGAUCUAAGGGCUUGAUGUCUUCCAUCCCCGUUGGAAAAGUGACCUGUCACACCUCUGGUCCCCCCGAAGUAUCCGCCGCCGUCUACGGCGGUCUGGCGUUCGAGGGGGCAACAAGAUUCGGAGGGUGGGGAAGAAAGAGAGGCGGUGGAGUCUUUUCACUUUUAUCGUGGGUCCGUUCAAUUAUAUUCUACGCACCUCAGCGCCAGGCC